CAGUCGAACGGACUUAUACUGAAACCUAGUGAUUUAUGAGUUAGUGGCGGACGGGUGAGUAACGCGUGGAUAACCUGCCGUAUACCGGGGGAUAACACUUAGAAAUAGGUGCUAAUACCGCAUAAGCGCACGGCUCCGCAUGGGGCAGUGUGAAAAACUCCGGUGGUAUACGAUGGAUCCGCGUCUGAUUAGCUAGUUGGCGGGGUAACGGCUCACCAAGGCAGCGAUCAGUAGCCGGCCUGAGAGGGUGGACGGCCACAUUGGGACUGAGACACGGCCCAAACUCCUACGGGAGGCAGCAGUGGGGAAUAUUGCACAAUGGGGGAAACCCUGAUGCAGCGACGCCGCGUGAGUGAAGAAGUAUCUCGGUACGUAAAGCUCUAUCAGCAGGGAAGAUAAUGACGGUACCUGACCAAGAAGCCCCGGCUAACUACGUGCCAGCAGCCGCGGUAAUACGUAGGGGGCAAGCGUUAUCCGGAUUUACUGGGUGUAAAGGGAGCGUAGACGGCAGCACAAGUCUGGAGUGGAAUCCCGGGGCUUAACCCCGGAACUGCUUUGGAAACUGUGCGGCUGGAGUGCAGGAGGGGUAAGCGGAAUUCCUAGUGUAGCGGUGAAAUGCGUAGAUAUUAGGAGGAACACCGGUGGCGAAGGCGGCUUACUGGACUGUAACUGACGUUGAGGCUCGAAAGCGUGGGGAGCAAACAGGAUUAGAUACCCUGGUAGUCCACGCCGUAAACGAUGAUUACUAGGUGUC
rnacentral:rRNA from 1 species